rnacentral:rRNA from 1 species
UACGGAGGGAGCUAGCGUUGUUCGGAAUUAUUGGGCGUAAAGAGCUCGUAGGCGGCCUGUUGCGUCCGCUGUGAAAUCCCGGGGCUCAACCCCGGGCGUGCAGUGGAUACGGGCUGGCUGGAGGCAGGCAGGGGAGAACGGAAUUCCUGGUGUAGCGGUGAAAUGCGCAGAUAUCAGGAGGAACACCGGUGGCGAAGACGGUUCUCUGGGCCUGUACUGACGCUGAGGAGCGAAAGCGUGGGGAGCGAACAGG